rnacentral:rRNA from 1 species
UACGGGGGGGGCAAGCGUUGUUCGGAAUUACUGGGCGUAAAGGGCUCGUAGGUGGCCAACUAAGUCAGACGUGAAAUCCCUCGGCUUAACCGGGGAACUGCGUCUGAUACUGGAUGGCUUGAGUUUGGGAGAGGGAUGCGGAAUUCCAGGUGUAGCGGUGAAAUGCGUAGAUAUCAGGAGGAACACCGGCGGCGAAGGCGGCACUCUGGGCCGGUACUGACGCUGAGGAGCGAAAGCGUGGGUAGCAAACAGG